rnacentral:rRNA from 1 species
UGGGGAAUUUUGGACAAUGGGCGAAAGCCUGAUCCAGCAAUGCCGCGUGUGUGAAGAAGGCCUUCGGGUUGUAAAGCACUUUUGUCCGGAAAGAAAUCCUUGGCUCUAAUACAGUCGGGGGAUGACGGUACCGGAAGAAUAAGCACCGGCUAACUACGUGCCAGCAGCCGCGGUAAUACGUAGGGUGCAAGCGUUAAUCGGAAUUACUGGGCGUAAAGCGUGCGCAGGCGGUUUGCUAAGACCGAUGUGAAAUCCCCGGGCUCAACCUGGGAACUGCAUUGGUGACUGGCAGGCUAGAGUAUGGCAGAGGGGGGUAGAAUUCCACGUGUAGCAGUGAAAUGCGUAGAGAUGUGGAGGAAUACCGAUGGCGAAGGCAGCCCCCUGGGUCAAUACUGACGCUCAUGCACGAAAGCGUGGGGAGCAAACAGGAUUAGAUAUCCUGGUAGUCCACGCCCUAAAACGAUGUCAACUAGUUGUUGGGGAUUCAUUUCCUUAGUAACGUAGCUAACGCGUGAAGUUGACCGCCUGGGGAGUACGGCCGCAAGAUUAAAACUCAAAUGAAUUGACGGGGUC